UACAGAGGGGGCAAGCGUUGUUCGGAAUUACUGGGCGUAAAGGGCGCGUAGGCGGCCUGUUAAGUCGAACGUGAAAUACCCGGGCUCAACCCGGGAACUGCGUCCGAUACUGGCAGGCUUGAAUCCGGGAGAGGGAUGCGGAAUUCCAGGUGUAGCGGUGAAAUGCGUAGAUAUCUGGAGGAACACCGGUGGCGAAGGCGGCAUCCUGGACCGGCAUUGACGCUGAGGCGCGAAAGCGUGGGGAGCAAACAGG
rnacentral:rRNA from 1 species